rnacentral:rRNA from 1 species
UACGUAGGGGGCAAGCGUUGUCCGGAUUUAUUGGGCGUAAAGGGUGCGCAGGCGGCCUGGCGCGUCGCGAGUGAAAUCUCCUGGCUCAACUGGGAGGGUGGUCGCGAGACGGCUGGGCUUGAGGCUCGGUGAGGGGCGUGGAAUUCCGGGUGGAGCGGUGAAAUGCUUAGAUAUGACAUAGAACACCAAUUGCGAAGGCAACUUACUACACAACGAUUGACGCUGAGGCACGAAAGCGUGGGGAUCAAACAGG